CCAGUUCGGGUCAAGCACAAAGAAUGGAUGGCCAUAACCAAUGAGCUUUCUCUUGACGACGCGUAGUAAUAAGCCUCAAGACAAAGUAAUAAGCCGACGAGGAAAGCGAUUGUUAAGUGUUAACCAUAAGCUGACAAAAGAGGCUACAGUUGAACUUUGCACAUAUGGGUGAAAAAGGGAACGAAGAUAUUUAUGUUGUCAAUGUUCAUGGCCCACGGAUAUGGAGCAGAGAGGACUCUUCGUG